rnacentral:rRNA from 1 species
GCCUACGGGGCGCAGCAGUGGGGAAUAUUGGGCAUGGACGCAAGCCUGACCCAGCAACGCCGCGCGAAGGAAGAAGGCUUUCGGGUUGUAAACUUCUUUUGUCAGGGACGAAGCAAGUGACGGUACCUGACGAAUAAGCCAUGGCUAACUACGUGCCAGCAGCCGCGGUAAUACGUAGGUGGCAAGCGUUAUCCGGAUUUAUUGGGUGUAUAGGGCGUGUAGGCGGGAAUGAAAGUCAGAUGUGAAAACU